UUACGGCCACAUCACGUUGAAACACCGGUUCUCGUAUGAUCACCGAAGUUAAGCAACGUCGAGCAUGUUCAGUAUUUAGAUGGUGACCGCUUAGGAAUACCAGUUCCUGUA